rnacentral:rRNA from 1 species
UACAGAGGUCUCAAGCGUUGUUCGGAUUCAUUGGGCGUAAAGGGUGUGUAGGUGGCGCGCUAAGUCGGGUGUGAAAUUUCGGAGCUUAACUCCGAAACUGCAUUCGUAUACUGGACGUGCUUGAGGGACUGGAGAGGAGACUGGAAUUUACGGUGUAGCAGUGAAAUGCGUAGAUAUCGUAAGGAAGACCAGUGGCGAAGGCGGGUCUCUGGACAGUUCCUGACACUGAGACACGAAGGCCAGGGGAGCAAACGGGG